CCUACGGGUGGCAGCAGUGGGGAAUAUUGCACAAUGGGGGGAACCCUGAUGCAGCGACGCCGCGUGGGUGAGGAAGUACUUCGGUAUGUAAAGCCCUAUCAGCAGGGAAGAAAAUGACGGUACCUGACUAAGAAGCCCCGGCUAACUACGGGCCAGGCGCCGCGGUUACACGUAGGGGGCAAGCGUUAUCCGGAUUUACGGGGGGUUAAGGGAGCGUAGACGGCGUGCCAAGUCUGGUGUGAAAGGCCGGGGCUCAACCCCGGGCCUGCAGUGGAAACUGGCAUGCUGGAGUGCGGGAGGGGCAAGCGGAAUUCCUGGUGUAGCGGUGAAAUGCGUAGAUAUUAGGAGGAACACCGGUGGCGAAGGCGGCUUGCUGGACGGUAACUGACGUUGAGGCUCGAAAGUGUGGGGAGCAAACAGGAUUAGAUACCCCUGUAGUC
rnacentral:rRNA from 1 species